AAAGCAAAAAACAAAAAACAUGUAUAUGUAUACGUAUACAUACAUGUAUAUGCUACUUGCUUUUCCCUCUGAUGGGAGUGUUUUUUCCCCGAUAUUCAAAUGCCAUCCCCUUACCUAUCAGCCUUCAGCACACUGACACCCCUUCAUCAGAUACUUCCCCAACCACCCUAAUUAAAGAAUUUCCCCCUCCUUGUUGUUGAUGCCCGUUAAUCAAAGAUCACCAGGAACACACUGCAAUCCAGAAAAGUGGGACUUGUUGAUUGAUGCUUCCAGCAGGAAGCAAGACUGCACACCUUGACGAAACAUGGGACAUCUCAUCACAGAGUGACUUUCUCUCAUGUUGAUGUGCCGUAAAAUUAUGUUUGACCAGAGAACACCAUGGUCUAGCUGUGAGUGCCAGGCCAGCUCCGAGCAAACAGCUGCAGGAGGACAUGGUAUCAUGUCAUUCAUCACUGUGUCUCCAACAUCAAAAGCAGCCCCAACAUAUGAUGGGUACAGAAGAUAUUCUAGUCCUUGUCAAUUUGGAUUGUUAUUACCCUCAGGAAGUAGAACCUGAAAAAACAAGGUAUUUCAGUCACCUUCAUACAAUGGUCAUCAUAAAGUGUCUUCUCAGAGCUUUUGUUUUAAUGUCCAGGCCCAAAGUUCACCUACAUAAGAAAAGAAUGUUAAUGAAUGUAACUCUUUUUCCUCUCAUUAAAAGGCUCUGGUAUAUUUCGAAAUCAUUCUGAUGCUUUCAAAGAAAGCAUUCCAGGUAAAUGUGCUCUCUACUGCAGUUAAAAACUUAAAGACUUAGUGACCAUUUUAAACAGUAGUCUUGAAAAUGUUCAUUGAAACAUCUUCCAAAAGGUAGCAAAAUUUGUAUGUUGGAGGCAAUAGUGAUGAUUUAUGUUCGUAUCUACUAUUUGCAUAUUUUACUACCACCAUUUUUGUUUUUUUGCUUUUAAUAUCUUCUUAUACAUUUUCUUACUGAAAAGUUACCGGUUUCGUUAAAUUAAGUAGAUAUUUAUUAAGUGCCUAUUUUGUGCUACGUGCAAGACAGUAUGCAAUUCAUUUCCAAGAAAGCUAAGAAAGUAUAAAGGAAAAGACAUAAUUGCCUUUUUCAAAACCUAUUUUCAACUAUUUGUGGCACGCUGAACUACCCUAACUAAUUUGCGCUGAAGAGAUUCAGAAUCAUUAGCCUUAGCCAGGCACUGUUGAGCAUCAUCUUGUGAACUUGAUAUGGGAUACAUUUAAGCUGCAAUAGGUAUAUAGUUUCUUCACAUACUUUGGAAGGGCUCCCGAGCCAGGAUGCUUAGAUAAAAAUACUGACAUUGCCAACAAUUAGCUGUGUGACUUAACAGCUCUGUGCCUCAGUUUCCUUGUCUGUAACUGAGGAUGACAAUAAUAGUAUCUAUUUCAUAGGAUUAUUGUGGAAAUGAAAUGAUCUAACCUGUGUAAAGGGCAUAGUAUAUUGCCUAGCAUAUAAUAAACAUUCAGUAAAUAUUAUUAUUUUAGUAUAUGUUAUAGUAUGUUAUGUUACUAUUGUAUCUUACGUCUUAUUGUAUCUUAACAUCUUAUUGUAUGUUACUACUAUUUUUAUCACAGUUUACGGAGCUGUAUAAGUAAUAAACAUUAUAAUGUAAACAUCUUUAUAAUACUUCAUACAGAAAACAGUAUGAAGUUUCACUAUCUAACUUAGUGAAUAUUUUUUGCUGCACACUGUGUGGAAGAUUCAUCAUGCUUGCUGGAAAUAUCAGUAUUAGUAAGACACAGUUCCUACCAUUAAGGAGUUCCCACCUGAAGCUCAGCAACUGCUGGUGGGAACAAAACUCUAGACCUCUUAUCUAUUUUUUCUAAAUGUGUAUACAAAAUCAGUUUUUCCUCUUUCCCAUCUCCCGUGACCUAUGUUGGUUAUCUAAAGUGAUUCUUGCCACCACUCUAGCUCUGUUAACCCUGGUCCUUGCACGAUGCCAAGCAAAUCUCUUUGUCAACUCCUCAUUUAUAUACCCACUCUCUCUCUCCUUCCCACUACUGCUGUUUUACAAUUACCCACCACUUAUUUUUAAGCACAUCACCUGGUUUAUGAGUAUUCAGGUCCUAGCAAGAUAGCAUAGAGGUUAAGGGCAUGAGCUUUAAAAGUAUAGUAUUUGGGGACUUCCCCAGUGGUCCAGUGCUGGAGAAUCCACCUUCCAAUGCAGGGGCCAUGUGUUCGAUCCCUGG